AAAAGAAAUGCCGACAAUCUACUGAGAAAGGCUGCUCUUAAUAUGAAGAGUUAUGGGCAACCAAAAAGUUCAAUGCAUGAAGGAUAUGAAAGAAAUUUAGCAAGUAGAGAUGAUGGCAAGGGUUCUCACAAGAUGCAUGAUGGUGUCAGUUCUACAAGAGCGACAAGGUCAUUCUUUUCUCUUUCAGCUUUUAGGGGAAGCAAACCCUCCGAGUCAUAGUUUGGUUGAUGGCUACGGAAAGUAAGAUCAUUGAGUUUGCUUUGCCAUAAUACAAGGGAAGUUUCAUGUUGUAAAUUCAUUGAACUGCGUCGAGGUAUUUUAUAACAUUACCCUGCAGUUAGCACUCAAAUACUCCACGUCCCCGUCCUUAGCAGAUUUUCUAUACUUGAUUUAAUUGUUGUGAUGGUUGUACCAAGCGUUCAUUUCAUAAUAUGUUACUAUAACUUAUAUGAAUAUUGAUCAUGUAGAUAACUAAAAUAUUGGUACCAAAUUUUUUGUUUAAUUGUUUUUCAUAGUUAUUGCCUUA